rnacentral:tRNA from 1 species
UCCCUGGAGGACCAGUGGUUAGGCCACAGCACUCUCAUUACUGCGGCCCAGGCUCGAGUCCCAGCCAGGGAA